rnacentral:lncRNA from 1 species
CGGAGGGUGCGCGAGCGCGUGCGGCAAGUUUGGCGGCGACACCUACUGCUGUCGUGGCCAGUUCGAGCACAACUGCCCGCCGACAUACUACUCGAGGUUCUUCAAGGGCAAGUGCCCCGACGCCUACAGCUACGCCAAGGAUGACCAGACCAGCACCUUCACCUGCCCGGCCGGAACCAACUACCAGAUCGUGCUCUGCCCUGCCCGAAAUGAUUUACACAUGGAUCAGUAAGUAGAGAGGACUAGUCCUUGUAGUCUUCCUUACUUAUUAUGAUCAUCGAUCGAUCGUAUCAGUGUGUGCCAUAUGUCCAUAUAUGCGUGGCUUCAUGACGGGUGAGUGCAUGUCAUUCAGCGAAUAAAUGUAUAAAUAAAAGGGACGUGUAAUUUUUAAGGUUAUGUGAAGUGCAACUCUGUUAUAUUUUUUGACCUUAUUAUGCCAUGAGUAAUGCUACAUCUACUGAAAAUUUCUUAGGCACAAGAUUUCAUGCACGAGGUGAUUAACUCAUAGUGAAAAAAGAGCAAUUUUAACAUGGUUCUUCUUACCUCCUCUUUGCUUACUCCUGUAAGUUUAGCACUUUUGUUGUGCAAGAGGAUCCCUUUUGUCCAAACAUUUUUUUAUCCUAUUAUUCUUUUUAUCCAGUUUUAUCUACCUUCUGUGUAUCUUUUCUACUGCACGUUGAGGUAACACAAAGAGGUAGAUGCACGUUGCUAUCCUGCAAUUAAUUCUGUGUAUCAUUAACAUCAGUAUUUUAAUGAUGUGGUCGCCUAAUUAUCUUAACCACAAUCAAGACAAUCGGCAGCGUUCUUUUUUUUCCCUCUCGACACAACUCAAUAUCACGGUUGUAGACCUCUAGGACCAUGAAUAGUCCACGGAACUUGAUUAUGUAGCUAGAUGAUACUACUCAAGAGUGAGUGAGAACAUCUUUUCCGGUUUCUUGGAACCAAUAUGCUAUAUCAACAAAAAACAUUAAAAAAAAUAGACAGGUGCUAACAAGUGAAUGGCUGCCUAUUUUAAUGUGCUAGAUUUAGGCUCUGUUUAAUAGCAAAGUAUUUUCCAGUAAGUAUUUUGAGAAUACUAAUUUACUCCUAACAGCUAAUUAGUACUCUGUUAUACUAUUUCUAUAUGAAUGUGUUGUGUGAAUAUUAUUUUCCAGCCCAUCUCACAGUCAAUCAAUAACCACCUAGGUUUCAUAGAAUUUUCAAGCACGUCUUCUAAACCGCGGCGAAGGAAGUACUACAAUUUAAUUUACUUUAAGAUGUUUGGCUACCAUUAAAUUUUUUGAUAUUAAUUCCAGAGUAUGGUCGAAACGAAAAUAUUUUAUCUGCAUAAAAAAAGAACCUUUGACAUCUUUAUAAUGUAGAGCCAGUGAAAAGAACAAGCUGUGACACAUUAUUAUUUCAUCUUCAGUUAUCCACAACAAGUCAACGUGCCUCGCUCCUAUGGCGUUGCGUCUGCUGCACUAUGCUCCUUGGAGGUACCCCGUCCAGUGCAGGUCCGCCCCCGGGUGAGCACCCGGCUACGCCUGUAUUGGGGAGUGUCCUCCUUGGCAAGCUACAACCUUAAGCAUCAUAUACAUUGACCAUGUGCCAAGAGUCAUUAACCUGCUACAAUACUAUUGCACUACACAGAGACAAAUUGUAACAGCCCGAGACCCACGCUUCAGAUGACUUCGUUAUAUCUCAUUAUCACCAUCUGAUUUACAUUAUGUGUGUUGGUGCAAGGUCAUGACACAUCAUUAAACUUGAAACUGUAGCGACAAAAGUUGCCAGGAAGAUACUAGCUUUGGGUUGAUCAAUGUAAUUAUGGCCAAACUUUGUUAAAUUAUGUAACAAAUACGGUUGUAUGCAUGUUUGGAUGCAGAUGCCGUGAGUUUCAAUCUCCUUUUUGAAAAAGAAAAAACAGUUGUGCAAUUGACAGUGCAAUUGAUUAUUUGAAUCCCCUUUGUCCAGCCAAGUUUCUUCUAUCCUAGUAUUUUGUUAUCCACAUUUAUCUACCUUUUUCUAUCUUUUGUAGCUAACACCAUGUGAUAUAUAGCUGCACGUUGCUACUGUACAAAUAAUUCUCCUUGCCGUGACAUCGUUGUCCGCCAUCAACAUCCAAGAUGGAGAUGUUCACCUAAUUUUCUUAUCUACAAUCAAGUUUAUUAGUACCUUGCUGGGUUUUUUCUCUCUCCACACAACUCUAGAUUAGUUAGCAUGCACAUUACGGAAGGACAACUAAACUUGAAUAAUUGAUGAUAAAGCUUAAGUUAUUACUAGCUAGGACCGUGAAACAUGAUGAGACUAGUCCACGAAGCUUGAUGACAUUAUGGCGAUAAGUCACUACUAGGACCACUACGCAAAAUGAUAUACCUCAAGAGUCAGUGUGUCGCAAUCCCCGACCCCUCUUAGUGUCAACAUAAAACAUGACAAAAAUUGGACAGGUGCCCACCAUCAAUGUCUCCCUCUUUUAGUGGGAAAGUAUGUGGCCAAUCCUAGAGCUGGAUCCGGCCCAAUGCAACAAAGUGAGGAGUGUUGGUUUUAUAUUUUUCUGUGUAGUACUCCCCGGGCCAUAUCUAUGCAAGCCCCUAUCUGCUCGAUCUACACUAUCAUACUUAUCAAACAAGCCUAGGAAGCGAUGUUCUAGGACGUGCAUGUCUCACUUACAAGGAGACUGGUGACUGCCUCAACUGGACCGCCGGAUGCCACAGGCCUCAAAGCGCUCAUUUUUUUACAUUUUCUUUUCCGUUUGCUGCUUUCUUUUUCGUAACUGUUGUUUAGUUUUUUUUAAACGUUAACCAUGCAUUUGAAAAAUGCAAGAUUGGUAUAAAAAAUUUGUUCUAUAUGAAAAAUGUAUACAAAAAAUAUAAAUCUGUAUGAAAAGGUUAACAUAAAAAUAUAUUAAAAAUGUUACUCAUGUUUUAACAAAAAUUAAACUUGCACAAAAAAUCUCCUAAUGUAUAUGAAAAAUAUAAUAAUAUAAAAAGUAGACAAUACAAUAUGUACUAAAGAGUUAAUUAUGCACUUUUAAAAAUGUUUAUAUAAAAAUGGUCCUGCUGUAUAGGAAAAAUGUAGAUUAUGUGCGAAAAAAGUAUACAUCAAAAACAUAUAUUUGAAAAAAGCACUAAUUAUGUAUGAAAAAAUGGAGAUACAACAUAUAUAUAUGUGUUAAAAUGUUAAUCAUUUAUAAGAUUUUUUUGAAUUAAGGGUAAAAAGGUGUUUCUAGUGUAUAAAAAAUUGUACAAUGUAUGCUCAAGAAUAUACAACAAAGCCAUGUAUUUAAAAAAUGUUAUCACGUAUUUUACAAAGCUUCAACAUGUACAAAACAAUGUUUUAGAAGUAUAAGAAAAAUGUUUCAGGUAGUUGAAAAUUGAUAAAUGUGGAUAAGCAGUAUUCCAAUUGUAUAGAAAAAUUGUACAUUGCGUGCGUUAGAUUGCGCCCAUCACUAGUCACAGCUUUCCAGAUAUUUUCCGCGGCAACUUCCACGAAUGAUUUUUCGGGAUGAAUUUAGGUAUGCAUGUAAAACAUUUGUCAAAGUUUACCCCAAAAAUAAUUAAGAAUUUUCUAAUUUUUUUUAUUUUNNAUUUUUUUAUUUUUUAUUUUACUAGUUUACAAAGGAGCAUUUGAGCUCGGGAGUAGAAUAAGACUUUCGUACAAUCUGUUGCUACUUGUGGUGGUUCCUCAACUGCACUGAAGCAGGGCUGGCCCAUAAGCCGGGCAAAAGGGGCGACCACCCUGGGGCCCAAGAGGGAAGGGCCCCAAAUACAAAUUAUACUACUAAACACUAUACAAUUAUAAUUAACACUUGAUAGAUUAUUAAAUGAAUUAAAUAGAUCCUUAAUUUGCACGAGCACAAGUUCAUGCCACAUACUAAUAAUUUAUAUCAUGUAAAGGCAAACUAGCCCGACUGACGAAGUUAACUUUAGAUACGUGUUAGUCUCUCUAUACGAUGACUGUCCUGCUAUCAUAAUGAAAUUUAUUAUAAUUAUAUUUCAAUGUUUAAACCAAUAAAUAGUUUUUCAUUUGAGAACGGGUAGGAGAUCGCAUUUGCACCAAACCGAACUAAGUGAAUCUAAAUGAGCAUGUGAGAUAAUUAAAUCAUACACAAAAGUACAAUCAAGAACAUAUUUUAUUCUUGGAUUGCCUAUUACUGGACCAACAUGCAUGUCAUAAUUAAUAGGUCCUAGAAGUUUCUAUGAAUAUGGUUGACUAACAUACAGUGCAAACCAUUACUAAAAUAUUUAUGAUUUAGAAAUAUCUACCACGACAUUCAAUGAUACGAUAUGAUAUAUGGAAACACACACAUAAAUAUACAAAUAUAUGUAUAUACAGUAUACAAUUCAUGUAAUAUUAGGACAUUAAGAAAGAACAAAUUUGUUACCUUAUACAACUUAAAUUUGGCAGCAUAAAAUAUUUUAAUGAUGUACAUCACAAUUGUAUUGUUAUGAAUAAUAUAAUUAUUAUUUGGAAAAAUGUUAUAUGACUAAGUGACAGAAAAUUAUAUUAAUUAAAAUUGUUAUAUAGUAGACUUAGUUUAAAAUAAGUAUGAAUGCUUGGUAUAAAAAAUAUUUGUUUUACAUUACCCCGGGCUCAAAAAUGUAUUGGAACGGCUCUGCACCGAAGUAGUCAGCAUUUUUUAAGCAACUAAGUAGCCAACUAUAUAUAUAGACUUUCUCCCGCCCAAAAAAAUCAUAUAUUGAGGUGCCCUUAUUUAGAUGUAAGAGAUAAAUGAGAUGUAACUUCCGCAUACAUUCUGCCAUUAGACACGGUCAUAUUUUUUUGCAGUUUUAUUUGGAUUUCUCUGAAUUCCCCCCGACCUUGUUUGUUUAUGAUUUCUUACUUAUUACCUUCUUAUAUCUUCUUAUAUUUGCAUGCUUUAUCUUUUUCUUCUGUUCUAUUUGGUGAAAAUAUAUUUGAUACUAAAAAAAGUAAACAAGGGUGGUUAAUUAAAUACUAUAUGAUUUUUUUUAUACACAUGGUAAGAAAAAUAAGCGUAACAUUUCUUUUGUUUUAAAAAAAAACGGUCUCGCCUAAAGAAGACAUGAAAAUUUCAUUAGUUACAUCCACACGAGAUGAGAUCAUGUGGGAUCGACGCCAAUCCAAUGGCCACAAACACACUGCACAUCAGUCAGCCUGAAACACCGUCUAGGCAACACCUGUUGCUACUCCUAUCCCUUAAUGAAGGUGUGCCGAAUAUCGGGGCCAAAUACUAAACAAACAUCGCACCAAAUCCUAACAUCUAUAGCCGAAUGCCCCAGUCCAGCCACACACUAGGACUGGAUCUCAUACCGUUCCUGCGCACUCUCAAAGGCAGCCUCCAUCAUCUUCCACCGGUCCAUUUUCAGAGCCAGAACAAACGCAUGUUCCUUGCUAGGUUUGUCGUCGACACCACCAUGGUGUCAAACAACGCCACCAUCCUGCACGUGUCCGUCCACACGUGCAUGUCGCCGAACCACCGCAGCGCCAAUGCCACCGGGAUCCACCAUAGGACUCGCGGUAGAACAAACACCGCUCCUCCUCUCGUCCCGUCCACCCAACACAUACUCCAAAACGAUGCCCUCGGGAGGGAAAUGACAUUGAAGAUGCCAUCAUCGUACGAUCCGGUAGAUCCAGAUCUGGGAUUUCUCCCGGAGCAUCAUGAGCGGGGUGCCACGACCUGCAACCACGAUGCCUCGAGAUGGUAACGACGUCGUAGACGCCGCCAUCGUCCGUCAUGACUGAAGUCGACGCGGUUUUCACCGAAGGUCGCGUCCCCCCAAUCUCGCGGUUGGGUGGGACCGAGGAGGGCUCGCCGUGUAGACAAGGACCACCAUCGGCAAGCCGGCAGGGGGCCUCCAUCCGUCCCUCACAGAUCCUCCUCGCGCCACCAGCCGACCAAGGUCAAACUGUGAUGGAUCUGGGCAGGACACGCCAGAUCCGCAGCCCUCGGUGCCAGCCAAUGCACGCGGCAGCCACCCUCGCUAGAUGGAGCGCCGCCACCGCCACCAUCCAAGCUAAGACCACAGCCGGCAAUGGAGGCCUCAAACGCCGCCGUGGAGCAGGGACACCGCCCUGACUUCCGCCCCCAUCCUCCCCGCGCGCGACAGCCCCUUCGCCUCACAGGGGAUCUGUGGCUACCACCUGCCCUCGCUCUAAGGCGCAGGGCCCGCUGCCACCGCGGCCCUUGCCGACGGCAGCGGCGGUCGGGGAAGGAAAUGGGGAAUCUGGUGGCUAGGGUUUCGGGGCCCUGGGGUCGCCCGAGAGGAGGCGACACGAGGGGUACUUGGGCUAAGGGGUCACUCUAUAUGUGUACACGCGGUCUUGGCGACGGUGACUAAUGAAUUAGCUAGGUGUGGAAAAAAAAGGGCCGUACACGUUCACUUUGCGUGUGCUAGUUUUCUUCUAGCCUUGACUUCGGCCCUGUUUGAAACCACAAUAAAUUAUGAUAAUCUGAAUUAUAAAGAUAGAUUAUAUAAUUUGGUUUAUAAAAAUAAUCAAGGUGAGCAUGUUUGGAGCCAGAUUAUAUAAACUGUAAUCCGAAUUUUACAUUGCACAAUGACAUGUCUGUGUUGGAAUUAUGCCCUAGAGGCAAUAAUAAAUGUAUAGUUAUUAUUAUAAUUCCUGUAUCAAGAUAAUAGUUUAUUAUCCAUGUUAUAAUUGUAUUGAAUGAAGACUCAUUUACAUGUGUGGAUACAUAGACAAAACACCGUCCCUAGCAUGCCUCUAGUUGGCUAGCCAAUUGAUCGAUGAUAGUCAGUGUCUUCUGAUUAUGAACAAGGUGUUGUUGCUUGAUAACUGGAUCACGUCAUUGGGAGAAUCACGUGAUGGACUAGACCCAAACUAAUAGACGUAGCAUGUUGAUCGUGUCAUUUUGUUGCUACUGUUUUCUGCGUGUCAAGUAUUUAUUCCUAUGACCAUGAGAUCAUAUAACUCACUGACACCGGAGGAAUGCUUUGUGUGUAUCAAACGUCACAACGUAACUGGGUGACUAUAAAGAUGCUCUACAGGUAUCUCCGAAGGUGUUAGUUGAGUUAGUAUGGAUCGAGACUGGGAUUUGUCACUCCGUGUGACGGAGAGGUAUCUCGGGGCCCACUCGGUAAUACAACAUCACACACAAGCCUUGCAAGCAAUGUAACUUAGUGUAAGUUGCGGGAUCUUGUAUUACGGAACGAGUAAAGAGACUUGCCGGUAAACGAGAUUGAAAUAGGUAUGCGGAUACUGACGAUCGAAUCUCGGGCAAGUAACAUACCGAAGGACAAAGGGAAUGACAUACGGGGUUAUACGAAUCCUUGGCACUGAGGUUCAAACGAUAAGAUCUUCGUAGAAUAUGUAGGAUCCAAUAUGGGCAUCCAGGUCCCGCUAUUGGAUAUUGACCGAGGAGUCUCUCGGGUCAUGUCUACAUAGUUCUCGAACCCGCAGGGUCUGCACACUUAAGGUUCGACGUUGUUUUAUGCGUAUUUGAGUUAUAUGGUUGGUUACCGAAUGUUGUUCGGAGUUCCGGAUGAGAUCACGGACGUCACGAGGGUUUCCGGAAUGGUCCGGAAACGAAGAUUGAUAUAUAGGAUGACNUGUAAGUUGCGGGAUCUUGUAUUACGGAACGAGUAAAGAGACUUGCCGGUAAACGAGAUUGAAAUAGGUAUGCGGAUACUGACGAUCGAAUCUCGGGCAAGUAACAUACCGAAGGACAAAGGGAAUGACAUACGGGGUUAUACGAAUCCUUGGCACUGAGGUUCAAACGAUAAGAUCUUCGUAGAAUAUGUAGGAUCCAAUAUGGGCAUCCAGGUCCCGCUAUUGGAUAUUGACCGAGGAGUCUCUCGGGUCAUGUCUACAUAGUUCUCGAACCCGCAGGGUCUGCACACUUAAGGUUCGACGUUGUUUUAUGCGUAUUUGAGUUAUAUGGUUGGUUACCGAAUGUUGUUCGGAGUUCCGGAUGAGAUCACGGACGUCACGAGGGUUUCCGGAAUGGUCCGGAAACGAAGAUUGAUAUAUAGGAUGACCUCAUUUGAUUACCGGAAGGUUUUCGGAAUUACCGGGAAUGUACCGGGAAUGACGAAUGGGUUCCGGGAGUUCACCGGGGGGGGCAACCCACCCCGGGGAAGCCCAUAGGCUUUGGGGAGACACACCAGCCCUUAGUGGGCUGGUGGGACAGCCCCAAGGGGGCCUAUGCGCCAAGAGAAGGAAAUCAAAGGAAAAGAAAAAAAGAGGGAAGAAGUGGGAAGGGAGGGGGACUCCUCCCACCAAACCAAGUCCAACUCGGUUUGGGGGGGGGAGUCCUCCCCCCCUUGGCUCGGCCGACCCCUUGGGAGUCCCUUGGACCCCAAGGCAAGGUCCCCCUCCCUCCUCCUAUAUAUAUGGGGCUUUUAGGGCAGAUUUGAGACGACUUUCUCACGGCUGCCCGACCACAUACCUCCAUAGCUUUUCCUCUAGAUCACGUUUCUGCGGAGCUCGGGCGGAGCCCUGCUGAGACAAGAUCAUCAUCAACCUCCGGAGCGCCGUCACGCUGCCGGAGAACUCUUCUACCUCUCCGUCUCUCUUGCUGGAUCAAGAAGGCCGAGAUCAUCGUCGAGCUGUACGUGUGCUGAACGCGGAGGUGCCGUCCGUUCGGUACUAGAUCGUGGGACUGAUCGCGGGAUUGUUCGCGGGGCGGAUCGAGGGACGUGAGGACGUUCCACUACAUCAACCGCGUUCUCUAACGCUUCUGCUGUACGAUCUACAAGGGUACGUAGAUCACUCAUCCCCUCUCGUAGAUGGACAUCACCAUGAUAGGUCUUCGUGCGCGUAGAAAUUUUUUUGUUUCCCAUGCGACGUUCCCCAACAGUCUGCCCUCCGUUUUUUUAAAAGAGGAGGAUGACGGUGGUGGAAAUGUAAUUAUCUUCAACUUUAUAAGGGUAAUGGGUCAUUAGCAAUCCAUAAUCUGAUUUUAGUUAGGAUAGAGUAGAUUGUGACUUUUUAAUAAUCUGUCUAUCUAGUUUUUAUAAUCUACAUCAUAAUUUGUCUUGUUUGAAGACUAAAUAGAUUAUAAAAACUGAAUUAUAUAAUCGGAGUGGUUCUAAACAGGACCUUUCACGUAUGCAUGAUCACCACCUGACAGGCUCAACAAAUAGCCAGCCAGCUUGCUACACGAUCGAGGCGUCACGUCACACACACACAGACUCAGAUCGUAUGGUGUACGCGGAACUUUUCCUUGAUCGGUCUUGACUAUACGUGCUACUGCGGAAGAAGACGAGAUCAAUGCUGUCUCAUGUGGAAGUUCUUGGAAGAAGAUUAUUAUACUUGUAGAGACGAAGGACAGACCUGUGGCGGUGCAUUGAUUUGCAGUGCAGAAACUGGCAAGAAAUUCUUGGCUGGGCUUGUAGAAAAAUGUGGGAGGCUACCUCAUCACAUUGCAUGCUCGUUUGAUCGACCUCUCCGUCUUAUGCGGCGUCCGUCACGCAUCACACUCGGCUGUGGUACAUGCACGUGCCCGUUCUUUUGGAACACCUCAAUAUCGUUCGGACUUAACGCGUUCUCUAUUUUUUUGCCAAGUUUUUGUAUAAUUUGGGGGCAACUGUUUGUAACUCCCCUUCAAUUUUAUUUUCCCUGCCGAACGAAUAUCGUCCUCCUUCUAUACACUACCGCGUGUGCGUUGUUGCUCCGCCCUGCCUAAGCUGAGCAUCUCUUACCGAUCCCUCAUAAUUUAGUGUAACAAGAGACGAAAAAACCGCAGCUCAAAACCGGAAAUGGUGAAGAAAAGUUCAGUUUAUUCAGUCGGAAGGCGGAGAAUCCGGGAAGCAAGCCAGAAGUCUGGGCAGUGGCCGGAUUGUCGAGUUUGUUUUUUUCUUUUUUUGAGGGAGAUUGUCCACUGAAUCCACUGAAUCAUGUCCAUACGAUCCGGGUAAGGCCCUGUUUGGAACCAUAAUAGAUUAUAAUAGUCUAGAUUAUGAAGAUAGAUUAUAUAAUCUGGUUUAUAAAAAUAAUCUAGAUGGACAUGUUUGGAAGUCAGAUUAUAUAAACUGUAAUCCAGAUUUUACAUUGCAUAAUGCCCUUUUUGCCCUCUGUUUUUUUAAAAGAGGAGGGUGACGGUGGUAGGAAUGUAAUUGUCUCCAACUUUACAAGGGUAAUGGGUCAUUAGCAAUCCAUAAUCUGAUUUUAGCUGGUAUAGAGUAGAUUAUGAGUUUUUAAUAAUCUAUCCAUCUAGUUUUUAUAAUCUACACCAUAAGCUGUCCUGUUUGGAGACAGAAUAGAUUAUAAAAACUGGAUUAUAUAAUCUUGAUGGUUCGAAACAGGGCCUAAGUCAACUUGAGAAACGACUCGUGGUGAACUGGAAAUUUUGGGGAGUAUCUUUUUGGGCUGGAUUACUGCCUCUUAUCCUUUAACUCAUUAUGUUUGGCUCGCUAAAGAAAAUCCAUUUCUAGCCCAUCCCCAACACUUUACUCCUUAAAAAUAUUUUUCACAAAAAAUUGAAAAUCGAUAGGUUUAUAGGAUUCAAACUACAUUGCAAACACGGAUAUAACCAUAUAUUGAUAAGCUAUAUCUCAAGCCGGUCGAGAAAUUAAAGAUAAGCAAUAUCCUAAAUAUUGGUUUUAUCUAUUGUCAUUUUGGAUUAAUUCGCUUGAAACUUGUGUACUUCCGGGAAUUCCUUACUUUACUGCUCACAAGCUAACUAGGAAAUUACAUUGUUUAUCCUUUUUUUUUACGGUCGGUGGGUGAAGGGUGGGGGGAGCUUUUAGAGAGAUGUAUCAAAACCUAUGUUCCUAAUCUAAUUGUGAAUCUUUGAGAGGUGAUGCUCAUCUUGGCAGAUGAGAGCGUUGCCGGAAUCGCAAACCAACCUGUGGUUGGAUGGUUAGGAGGACAUUGAUAUAUCUUGUCCAUCAGAGUUCAAGUACGACAGUUGACAUUGGUCCUUGCAUUUUCCUGAUUUAUUACAGGCAUUCUGGUGAUAUGCAUUCAGUGAAAAAAGAUGUUCCCGUCUAUUACAAAGGCAUCUGUGACAACUUUGUCAAUCUCAAUAUGAUAUUCCAGUUCAGUCUCCCAAAGGUGUUUAUUGAGAUAAGGUGUGCGUUCAUGUAUUUAUAGAGGUGAGAGUCUAUGCUUGUGUACGUGACCGCUUCCAUUGAACUCUAUUAAAAAAAAGAGCAUUGCGAGAAUCGAGAAUCCCAAAUCUCCCAAAGUAUGGUAAGCACAACAGAUGGCCGAACAUUGGGGGCGAGUCUCGUUGGGGAUGGAGCCUUGUCGUUUUGAUUUUAUGGAAAGAGAUUGAUUAUCGGAAUAUUUUUGAAUCACAUCUUUAUAAAUCCUGUGCAAUUUGAGAUUUGGGAAUUUGCAACUGGGGCAUGCACUAUACACGCCAUUUUGUAUGCAACUUUGAUAUUAUUAAGGAUCUGACUCACAUCCAAAAGAACGGACACGCGUAUGUACACAGCCGUGUGUGAUACUUGAUGGAUGCCGCAUAAAACGGAGAGAUUGAUCAAUCAAACGUGGAACGUGCAUGCAGCUGGGUGGCUAGCUAGCGUCCUCCACUUUGGUUUCUUUCGUCGUCUCCAACUUUUUUCUACAAGGACUCGUCCACGCAUGGAUAGAUAUACACCUUGAACGUGAAAUAUAGCCCCUUUUUUCACAUCUCGAUGAUAUUUCCGAUAUGCAAAAUUAAUGUCCUUAAUUUUUUUAACAUAAUACAAACACAAACGCUCAUAUACAUGCGUACAUAUUCAUCCCUAUAAACUCAAGCACGCAUACCAUAUCCCUAUGAGCACCUCCGAGAGAUUGAACCGACAUAUCAUCUUCAGAUUUACAACAACAGUGCGGGGGAAUUGUGAGGAACUUUCCAUCGGCGACAACAGUGGUUUCUGUACAGGGCAAUGCGCCCGCCAUAGUCACCCGGAGCCGUCGAUCUUCAAUCCUCUGGCUCUCUUCUUUGCCUACCGAUUCGUCAAGUAGGAAGCUACCCCAGCAGUAGAUCUUCCAUCCCACGUUUGCUGUGAUUGUAACAGAUAGUUCAUGUUUUUAUCGUGAGCACUGUAGCUCCGGUUCAUGUCAAUAUUGUUCCUUUUCACUUUUUGUAGCUAUUUAAACAGGGGAAUUCGUGAGGAGAGGAUUAUUCUGGAUGCAAUCAGGCUUUGCCCUAGCGCCGUCGUGUUCCAGCCGGCCAAACCCUAGUUUCUCUUUCCUUUAGAUUGGACUGAAAACCAACCAUCGAUUUGAGUGAAUUUCUAUCUUGUGUGUGAAACAGUAGCUAGAACUCCGACAGACUUAGAAGAGCUUGUCAUAAGGUGCACUCAGUGCGCGGCCACACCAUGGCGCCCGCGGUACCGGCGGGCCCUAUGCUGGUCAAUCUCCAACCAGAACCGGUACUAUUGGGCAUGCUAUCGACAAGGUAAGGACAUAUUAUAUCUCUUUUCAUCCUAUACAAGGUUAACUAUCUAAAAGUGCUAUGCUCGGGUUUUCAGGAGAACGUCAAUAAGGUAGCAAAGGAUGAGGAUACAGAUAAUAUGCAGGUUGAAAAGGUGAUAAAGAAAGACGAGGAUAGAAACCCUAAGUCGAUAGAGGUGAUACAAGGAGAUUCUAUUAUGGAGGAUACAGAAAAUAUGCAGAUUGAAGAGGUGAUAACAGUACAAAAUGAUACAAAUCUAGUGUCCGGAAAGGCUACACAACAAUCCAUUACGGAGGGUCCAGAAAACAUGCUUUUUGAAGAUGUCAUAACCAAGGAUGAAGAUACAAUCCCUAAAUCAACAGAGGCGAGUUUUCUUUCUACAUGGCAUUACUAUUCUAAUUCUAAUGCCACAAAUCAGACUGUAAUUUUUAGUACAAUAUCACACAAAAAAUAUCUCUAAUGAUAUAAUAUUACCGUGUGUUUCAGGUACUGAGCAAUGACGAAUCAAGUGAAAUACUCAACGAUGGUGAAGUGGAGGAAAAUAAUUGCAUGGAGAGCCCAGAAUAUACACCUCUUCUUGAAGAAAACAUAGCAAAAAAGAGAGGCCGAAGAUUCUGAACAUACACAGGUGAGUUUGAUUUUCAAACUAUAUCUUCUAAAAUAUAUUUUUAUGUGUUAUAUCCUACAUAGGGAUAAUUCUUUUAAUUUUAUUUUUAGAAAUUAACCAACAAUGAAACAAGUCAACAAAUGGUGGCAACUAAAGACAAGGUAUUGGCAAAAACAAUCGGCACGAAAGGGCGUGAAACUAUAGAGGACGAGCUAACACAGCACGUGCAUAUAAAGAAGCAUAUAUGACGACAUAACAAGCCUAAGAAUGCAUAAGACUAUGUUGUUUCUCCACAAGAUACAGAACAAAACCUUUGAUGUCCUAGUACUGCUAAAUUAUUGUUCUUUUGUUCAUCAUUAUUAAAUGUUAUCUUGGCCAUCAUGACAUAUUAUGCCUGGCGAUGAUUUGUCCGUCAUAGAAACUAUCAUAUCUGAACCAAGCGAAGAAAGACAUUUAGUGAGCAUCAACGACGCAUUUCUGGAAAAAAAACAUUUACCAUUUCUUCUAACUCCUGGAUAAUGGGUUGGCGACGAAGUAAGUAGAAUAAUAUUGCAUUACGACAAUAAUAUACUAUUUGAUUGUGAGUAUGUGUCAGCUAAUCUAUUAUUUAUAUUUUAAAUUGUAGGUCAUAGCUAGGCGCGUAUAUAAAUUGCAUGACUACUAUUGAGCAUCUACAUGUAAGGUCAGGUGAAAGUGUGUUCUUAGAGAAUGCAUGCAUCUCUAAAAUGAUAAAGCUCGGUAACUACCUGCCUUCAGAUAACACGGAUGAUGUACCAGUAUGUGUAUUAAAGAGAGCUGAAAACUAUUUGAAAAUGAUAUGGUUACUCUUACUUUACUACGUAUUUCUAUGAAUUAGAGCAAGAACGACCAAUUCGUCCAUAUAGGAGUACAAGUAAAAUAAUCUUUUUCUUCAGAUAUUCAUUCCAAUAAACAUGAAAGAUGUUCACUCGUACCUAUGUGUUAUAAAUGCCAGAAAACUAUGUGUUCAAGUGCUUGACUCGCUAGGCACAUCAAUGAACCGCCAGGACCUUAAUGAUACGGUUAGUAUUUAGUACUACAGUGAAGUCUGCUCAUAAGAAGGUUUUUCUCUUGCCAAUUUCUUGCUUGUGAUGCUUAUGCUUUUUUCAUUUGUUGGUGUAAAUGCUAGAGGGACUGUAGGAUUUAUUCAGAUAUGCAUCCAAGCAUAUGCAAUUAAAAUACGAUAAGUGGAUUGAUCUAAAUGUUACAACAUGGAAAAGGGAAGAACAUAUUAAGAACAGACCUCAAACGGAUGGGUACGCGUCCUAACAUAACUCAGUCCAUUUUUGCUUAUCAGGGUACAUUUGUUCAAUUCUUUUUUAUCGAGGUUGCCCAGUCACUGACUGUGUGGUUCAAUCAUCAUCAUUUUAUAAUACUAAUAAUAUUUUGUUCAUAUUUUUAUUAAUCAUAUCAAAUUUUCGUAAUCAUCUAGGUCAUCUUGUGGUCUUUGGAUGUUAAAUUACAUGGAGUACUUCACGGGAGAUAAUUUGUCCAACACUCCCAAACAGGUAUAUCUUGCAUCAUACCAUGAUACUAUUUAUUUCAUGGUUCACUUUAGGUUCGUAUGACAUAUUUUAGAACAAAAUUAGGGGUCAUUUUAGUCGACUCGGAAUUGAAUGGUGAUGAUAUAAGAAACUAGAACUUCGAUGAUGAUGAGACCAACACGGAUCCCACCGACUGUAUGAUUGUGGAAAGACCUCCUAACAAACCAAAAGCAUCCAACUCAUCAUCACAAGUUGAGCUUAGCUCGCAAUCAUAUAUCCUUUCGCCGUCUGUCACUCCAACAAAUGACAACUUAAUAGACGAACUUUGCUUGUUCAUGAGCAUGGUUGAUGAUGUCCCGUUGCUAGAGUAAGACGCAUUUUUCAAGUUCAUUUUUUUUCUAAUAAAUUAUUACUCUUGUAUCACUAUAAUUGACAGAAUUCCCAUUUCAAAGGAGUGAAUGGGUGAGAAGCUCUCACCCUUAUCCUAUUAGUCUAAGUUUGAGACAAUUAAAACAUAUUAAAGAAUGAUGAGUACAUGGAUGCUGAUUGUUUUAAUAUGGUUGUGCGGAUACUAGCGUGCCACGACGUCCAACUUGCUAGAGACAUCCGAGUAAACUAUAUGGAUCUACGAUUUUGUGUAAGUUAUUAUAAUCAUAUAUUACAUUUUGCUUCAUUCUAGUAAUGUUUUCUUAUAUUAUUGUAGUCCAUGUCCCACUAUGCACGAGUUCUAAGUCGUCGUGACGGCAUGGACAUUGCUAUGUUGGCACGACUAUUUGAUAGCUGGCCUGAUAGCAAUGAGUAUCAUAUCUCAGAAUGUGAUAUGGUAAGAUUUGAAUUCGAAGUCAUUGUUUAUUUGGUCUUAAUGAAUGAUAAUGAUUGUCGUGUUUCUAAAUGUAUGCAUCAAUGCAGGUUUUACUGGCUUUUGAUAUUCUUGGGCUAUAUUUAUUGUUUGUCUUGGACCAACAUAAAAAAGUUGUCUUCAUUUUGGACCCACUUUAAGAAAGCAUAUACUUGAAAGUAUGGUUAAUGAUCUAAACCUUGCUCUCCAAGUUGCAAACCGUGCCUUCAAGGACAACAUCUUGACAUGGAGAUGCAAAGUUCCCAUAGUACCCACAAACUCAUACGGGUAAUAAUUUUGUCUCUCUUUUCUACACAUAGGGUAAUAAUCUUGUCAAUACAUCACAAUCUUAAUUGAUUCAUUCAACUCACAUGUAACAUCUCAUACAUGCAGUCCCCUCUUUGGUUAUUUGGUUUUCAAUUUAAUGCACUCAUGGCGCGAUGGAACAUUACAGCUUCCGGUACCCAAGGUAAGUAUUGACACCAUGCUCAUUCCUAUACACGUUACACAUGUUUUUUUAAUAACAAUGCUAUAUAAUACAUAUGUUGGAUGAUUUUGAACUCAGGAAGAGAUUUUUGGUUCAUAUUUUGAAGUAUGAAGAGAAUGAAGUUCUAAACCAUAUCCCGGUUUUAGAACGAAGCAUUAUAGACCGCAUCAAAAGAUGGACCUUCCAGAGCGGAUCAUCAUCAAAUAGUGACUACUAGGUUGCAUAUAGUAUAGAAAAUGCUUCACAAUUUGUGGAUAUGAACAACAAUUUUUUUACCACACGCAUGGAAAGAAGCGGAAAGAUAACAUACCUGUAUGUGUUUCACUAGUAAUAUUCCACAAAUGAAUGGCGAUGUGAUGAAGCCAUGCAUGUGGUGCAUACAAUGGCAUAAGCAUGAACAAAGUUUAGAUGUCAAUUGAUGCAUUCACAUGCAUUUCUGUGAUAAAAAAGCGCAGAUACUAACUUGGUUGUGACCCUGGAACUCUCGGUUACUAAGGCCCUGUUCGGCAAUCCACCAGCUCCUUAAAAUCCAAGGAUCUGUGGACCACCUGGUUGAUCGCUCCAACAUUUUCUACUGCUGCUCCGUCCGCUCCGGGAGGGAAAUCGAACAGACCCUAAGUGCCAGUAAUAAUGCGACAUUACCCCGCCGCCACCAUCCUUGGCGCCCCGGGCUUGCCCGGCGGCUGCCUCAGGCGGCGGUGAGGAAGGGAGGGGAGGGGGGGGGGAGGGGGAGGCGGCUAGGGUUAGGAGGGAGGGAGGGAAAAAAAGUCAUUUUUUCUUAACAUGGACUGCUGUUUUUUUUUCAUACACCAUCCAUACUGAGAAAAAAAGGCAUAUGUUGAUUCUAAUCACUAGACCACUAGUAAUUGGGCGGUCCCAAUGAACCGGCAAGCUGGAGGAAAAAAAUCAUAGAACAUCGCUAGCUGCACAAUAAUAAAGGCUAGCUGUCGAAAUGCUUAGUUAUAGCAUCCAAGCAAAGUGUUAUUUGAAAAUGCCACGAAACGGCUCCAGUCUUAUACAUGAAAAUGCUCAAAUUUUGCCCUUUUUAACUAUAAUGUUUAGCAAAUGUUCAUGAAUUUAUUAAUAAAACAUAUUCAUGUAUUUUUUUUAAAAGGAGUUUUUAAAAAAUACUUAUUUUAAAAUUUUCGUGAGAUAAAUAUAGACACGAAUUUGGGGAAAAUUUCUUGCAAGUUUAAAAAUAUAUUCAUGAAUUUAUAACAUGUUUAUCAUAGUCGCAAUUGGAUGAAAAAUAACUUAUGGUUGCGACCCACCCCUCGAAAGGAAACAGUUGCGACCUCCUUACAAAAUAAUGCAAUUGUGGCACAUUUACAAACUUGUAUUUGCGACCCUUCCAAGAAAAAACAUGCAUUCGCAAUCCUCACUUGAAAGCAUGCGGUCUCCAACCCUUGAAACACUUGCAUUUGCGGUACCUUAAAAAACAUGCACACCCCAUUUCAAAAUAUAGAGUUACAACCUUUCUUAAAAAACAUGCAGCUACGACCCCACUUAAAAAAUAUGCAAUUGCGGCCCCUCUUAAACCUCCUAUUAAAACUAUGCAGUUGCCUCGGAAAAUUUGAAGUUGCCGGUUGCCUCGGAAAACAUGCAAUUGCGGGUUGCCCCGGAAAACUUGAAGUUGCGAGUUGCCUCGGAAAGCUUGCAGUUGCGGCCUGUUUUGUAAAACGUGCGGUUGCAAUCUGUCUCAGAAAACUUGCAGUUACAGGCUGCUUCAGAAAAAACUUGUACUUGCGGUCUGUUUCGAAAACUUGCGGUUGCGAGCUGCCUCAAAAAACUUGCAGUUGCGGGCUGCCUCAGAAAACUUGGAGUCGUGUGCUGCCUCGUAAAACUUACAGUUCUGGCAUGUUUUACUUGCAGAUGCAAUCUAUUUCGGAAAACUUGCAGUUGCGGGCGGCCUCGGAAAACUUGCGGUUGCGGGCUACCUUGGAAAACUUGGAGUUGUCGGCUGCCUCAAAAAACAUGCAGUUGUGGGCUGCCUUAGAAAACUUGCAAUUGCGGGUUGCAUCGGGAAACUUGCAGUUGCGUGCUACCUCGGAAAACAUGCAGUUGCAGCCUGUUUUGUAAAACUUGCGAUUGCAAUCUGUUUCAAAAACUUGCAAUUGCAGGCACCCUCAGAAAACUUGCAGUUGUGGGCUGCUUCAGAAAACUUGCGAUUGCAGCCUGCCUCAGAAAGCUUGCGGUUACAGCCUGCCUCAGAAAACGUGUAGUUGCGGGCUGCCUCGGAAAACCUGGAGUUGCGGUCUGUUUUGGAAAACUUGCAGUUGCGGGCUACCUCUGAAAACUUGUAGUUGUGGGCUGGUUGAGAAAACUUGCGAUUGCAGCCUGCCUCAGAAAACCUGCGGUUAUAGCCUGCCUCGAAAAACUUGCAGUUGCGGGCUGCCUUGGAAAACCUGCAGUUGCGGUCUGUUUUGGAAAACUUGCAGUUGCGGGCUGCCUCCGAAAACUUGCAGUUGCGGUCUGUUUCGGAAACUUCAAGUUGCAUCCUGGUUUGGAAAACUUGCAAUUGCGGCCUGCCUCGGAAAACUUGCAGUUGCGGGCUCCUCUCAAAAAACUUGGGGUUGCGGCCUGCCUCAGAAAACUUACGGUUGCGGCCUGCCUCGGAAAACUUGCAGUUGUGGGCUGCCUCGGAAAACUUGCGGCCUGGCACUAAUGUUUUUUGUAGACAAGUAAUAUAGAGCUGCCAGAUAAACCACAACCUCCUACAAUAAGAAAUCACUGUAUAUAACAAAAAAAUAAAAAAAUCAGAAAUGUGGGUACGUUGGGCACGUUUCCAUAAUAAAUAAAAACUGUAUAUAGUCGUUGUACUAAUGUUUUUGGGCACGUUUCCAUAAAAUGUGGUAGUUUUUGAUUACAUACUCCAAAAAACUACCUUGAAAUGUAUCAUAUUCCCACUAAACUUCAACCGAAUAUGGUAUCAUAACCCAAAACUAAACUUGAGCAGUAUAUGGAACCUAUAUUCCUAUAAUUAAACUGAAACUAAAAAAGAUAAAUGACUAAACUGCCAAAACUGAACUGUGAGAAGUAGAUGCUCCUCCAGCCAACCUUGCGACUCCACACAACAAUUAUCAAGAAGUAAGCACUUGAAAAAAAAAUUCUAGGAGAUAAACAGAAGUGACAAGGGUGAACAAAAACACAGUGUCCAGAAAGUCUGUUGCCUAUCACUUAGGGCAUACAUGUGUACUGAUUUGUCUGAUGAUUAUCCUGAAAGGGGUUGAAGAAAAAGAGAUUGGAGACUGAAUAAAGACAAACCGAAGGCUUGCGAGAUAGAUGAUAAAAAGUGUGGAUGUGUCUAAAGAAAAAAAGCAUAACCUAGUACCUCAAAAAUAAAUAAUUAAGUACAAUAUUCCCUAUAAUCAAAACAUCUACUGAAAAAAAUAGACCCUGAAUACAUAAAAAUGUAUAACAGAUCCUACAAACACCUACUCGAGAAUAAUGAACUAAGCACUAGAAAAAAACAAGAUGCUUAAAUAUGGGACAAAAAUGGACUACCACCCCCCAUCUACAAAUCCUAAAAAAAAGAUAACGGUGCACAUCAUAAAAAAUCUUCUGCUGCUUCCCAAAGGAACAAAUCAAACAGUAUCCUCACAGCACAAAAAAUCUUCUGCUACUAUCCAGAAAAAGAAAUCAGACGGUAUCCCCUCCAUAACAUCUGUCACAAAUUGACAAAAAUCCUAUACCAACCCAUCUUAGAAAAACAUGAAUUAACCUCUUAAAAACCACCACACAUCACCUCCUAUAAGACAUAAAUCUAAAAAAAUCCCGAAGACAAAACCUUCUCACUCCAUGCAUCUACACGAACCCUAGAAAAAAAGCCAGAACAAAAAAUGAACCACACAACGGGGGAGAAAUGCCUCACUUGAACCGGCGGCGCAACGAACACCUCACUCCUCUUCCCCCAUUCAGCUCUCCUCCCAGCAAAUCUGAAGCUCGCCUCCUUCCAACGGACAGAGGAGAUGUGGCGGUGGGAGACUGCAAAGGAUAAAAUGAGGAACCAGCUAACGACAACAACAACAGCACAAAACGAGCCUGCUAACGCUUCGGUUCUGCUAACGCAUAGAAGAAAACGGGCCUGCAGAGUGAACAAACAAAAAACGGCCCACUACAGCAACAACAAAUAACGGGCUGCAAACAAAACAGAGAAGUGGUUCAAACCCAUGAAUCGCGGCGCAAAAUGAUCGAACGGUUGAGAUGGUGACUGAGACCAAACCUGAAUCUCAGCUAGCUGAGUUUCAGCAAUCCCGAAUGAUAUUACCCGGGACUGAUGCUGAUCCAACGGCCAGAAACACAUGGCAUAUAAGUCUUCAAAAAUGUAUUGAAUAUAUCCGUUCAAACAUUUGACUCACAUGUAGUGCAUUGUACACUGCCCCAAGCAUACAUGAGGUGUCCAAGUUUGGAUUCUAGAACCAUAUUGCAUGCUGCCAAAUACGACCGUGGAAAAACGCAUGCAACCUAACUAUAUUGUGGCUAUAAAUACCUCCACCGCGAGAGCUGCAGAGCAAGCCACAGUUCACCACCGCUGCACGCACGCACGCACACUACCAUCACAAUUCACAAGUCCUCCAUGGCGUCAUCUCACGUUGUUAGCCUCCUGGCCGGUCUCCUCCUUGCCGCCCUCGCCGCAAGCACAGACGCGGCCACCAUCACCGUCGUCAACCGGUGCUCCUACANGCAUCACCGGAGACUGCGGCGGCGCGCUGGCAUGCCGCGUGUCCGGCCAGCAGCCCACCACGUUGGCCGAGUACACCCUGGGACAGGGCGCGAACAAGGACUUCUUCGACCUGUCCGUCAUCGACGGGUUCAACGUUCCCAUGAGCUUCGAGCCCGUCGGCGCGUCGUGCCGUGCUGCGCGGUGUGCCACGGACAUCACCAAGGAGUGCCUCAAGGAGCUGCAGGUGCCGGGAGGGUGCGCGAGCGCGUGCGGCAAGUUCGGCGGCGACACCUACUGCUGCCGGGGCCAGUUCGAGCACAACUGUCCGCCGACCAACUAUUCGAAGUUCUUCAAGGGCAAGUGCCCCGACGCCUAUAGCUAUGCCAAGGACGACCAGACCAGCACCUUCACCUGCCCUGCCGGAACAAACUACCAGAUCGUCCUCUGCCCUUAAAUUACGUCAUUGGUAUAAUUACUGGGAUCAAUAAGGAAUAAGGACUACUCUCAGUCCAGUUAUGAUCAGCAACCAUGUGUAUCAGCAACCAUGUGUACUAACAUAUAUGCAUGCAUGACUAGUGCGUGUAUGUCGAUCGAGUUGUCGACCAAUAAUAAAUAAAUUGUUACGUAAUUAUAUGUAUGGCGAACUGAGCUAGUAGAUGGUUAGUUUUCUUGUGGUGGAAACAAACACAACGGGGUUCAAGUUCUUAGAUUCGACACUAGUGACUGCAUUUUUCUAAAUUUAUUCCAGUCAAUCCGACAAUGUCCGUUUGGUAAAAGAAGACGUUCGGCUAAGCAUCUCAAAGAUGCUCAUAGAGGAAGGAUGUGUGUGUGGGUUUGUAAGGCUGCUCAAAGAUGCUCAAAACCAGUAGAGUUUCUGAAAGAAUUGUUGGAGUUUGUUUUAGCUGACGUUUUAUUGAGGUGGUUAGGGUUCGAUGUAGCUUGUCGGCACCUCUUCCUAAUGCCAUCUUACUACUAUAACAAUGGUCUUCUC